UGGGGUGUGGCUCAACGGUAGAGCAUUUGCUUAGAAUGUAUGAGGCCCUGGGUUCAAUUCUCAGCACUAUAU
rnacentral:tRNA from 1 species